GGGAUGACGGCCUUCGGGUUGUAAACCCCUUUCAGUAGGGAAGAAGCGAGAGUGACGGUACCUGCAGAAGAAGCGCCGGCUAACUACGUGCCAGCAGCCGCGGUAAUACGUAGGGCGCAAGCGUUGUCCGGAAUUAUUGGGCGUAAAGAGCUUGUAGGUGGCUUGUCGCGUCUGCCGUGAAAACCCGAGGCUCAACCUCGGGCGUGCGGUGGGUACGGGCAGGCUAGAGUGUGGUAGGGGAGACUGGAACUCCUGGUGUAGCGGUGAAAUGCGCAGAUAUCAGGAAGAACACCGAUGGCGAAGGCAGGUCUCUGGGCCAUUACUGACACUGAGAAGCGAAAGCAUGGGUAGCGAACAGGAUUAGAUACCCUGGUAGUCCAUGCCGUAAACGUUGGGCACUAGGUGUGGGGGACAUUCCACGUUUUCCGCGCCGUAGCUAACGCAUUAAGUGCCCCGCCUGGGGAGUACGGCCGCAAGGCUAAAACUCAAAGGAAUUGACGGGGGCCCGCACAAGCGGCGGAGCAUGCUGAUUAAUUCGAUGCAACGCGAAGAACCUUACCAAGGCUUGACAUGCACUGGACGGCUGCAGAGAUGUGGCUUUCUUUGGACUGGUGCACAGGUGGUGCAUGGUUGUCGUCAGCUCGUGUCGUGAGAUGUUGGGUUAAGUCCCGCAACGAGCGCAACCCUCGUUCUAUGUUGCCAGCACGUAAUGGUGGGGACUCAUAGGAGACUGCCGGGGUCAACUCGGAGGAAGGUGGGGACGACGUCAAAUCAUCAUGCCCCUUAUGUCUUGGGCUUCAAGCAUGCUACAAUGGUCGGUACAAUGGGUUGCGAAACUGUGAGGUGGAGCGAAUCCCAAAAAGCCGGCCUCAGUUCGGAUUGGGGUCUGCAACUCGACCCCAUGAAGUCGGAGUCGCUAGUAAUCGCAGAUCAGCAACGCUGCGGUGAAUACGUUCCCGGGCCUUGUACACACCGCCCGUCAAGUCACGAAAGUCGGUAACACCCGAAGCCAGUGGCCCAUCCUCGUGAGGGAGCUUCUAAGGG
rnacentral:rRNA from 1 species